GAGUUUGAUCCUGGCUCAGAUUGAACGCUGGCGGCAUGCUUUACACAUGCAAGUCGAACGGCAGCACGGGGUUUACCCUGGUGGCGAGUGGCGAACGGGUGAGGAAUACAUCGGAACGUGUCUAUAAGUGGGGGAUAACGCAUCGAAAGAUGUGCUAAUACCGCAUAAUCUCUCAGGAGAAAAGCAGGGGGAUCGCAAGACCUUGCGCUUUAGGAGCGGCCGAUGCCUGAUUAGCUUGUUGGUAAGGUAAAAGCUUACCAAGGCUUCGAUCAGUAGCUGGUCUGAGAGGACGACCAGCCACACUGGGACUGAGACACGGCCCAGACUCCUACGGGAGGCAGCAGUGGGGAAUUUUGGGACAAUGGGGGAAACCCUGAUCCAGCCAUGCCGCGUGAGUGAAGAAGGCCUUCGGGUUGUAAAGCUCUUUCAGCCGGACG
rnacentral:rRNA from 1 species